UACGUAGGGGGCAAGCGUUGUCCGGAUUUAUUGGGCGUAAAGAGCGUGUAGGCGGUUAGGUAGGUCCGUUGUGAAAACUCGAGGCUCAACCUCGAGACGCCGAUGGAAACCAUCUGACUAGAGUCCGGAAGAGGAGAGUGGAAUUCCUGGUGUAGCGGUGAAAUGCGCAGAUAUCAGGAAGAACACCCGUGGCUAAGGCGGCUCUCUAGUACGGUACUGACGCUGAGACGCGAAAGCUAGGGGAGCAAACAGG
rnacentral:rRNA from 1 species